CAAACCACUCAUGGUAUGGGACUCAAUAGUUAGUCAGAUUGACAGGAGAUUUUGUGGUCAGGAACGGGACUCCUGGAAGGUAUGUUGCCUCCCUGGUGCCAGGGUCCGG